AUCUCGAUGCCUGGCUUAACAGAAAACCACUAGAUUCUCUUUCCUGCUGCAGUAAGUUGUUUAGGUGCAACUAUAGAAAGCAAGCCCAAUAUCUCUCUCUCUCUCUCUCUCUCUCUCUCUCUCUCUCUCACACACACACACACACACACACACACACACAUUUGGAAAAGGGAAGAAUAUUUUAACAGACUUUCAGAUCAUUGUGGAUGGACUUUUUUGAUACCAUA